CAAAACCCGUUGAAAAAAAAAAAAAAACCUUCCACAGACACAAAAGCCGCUGAGAAAACUCCCGCGGGGCCCAAACCCCAUCGGGAAAAUUCCUCUGGACCCAAAACCCAUUGGGAAAACUCUCAUGGACCCAAAACCCAUUGAAAAAAGUCCUAUAGACCCAAAACCCAUUGAGAACCCCCCCCCCCCCCAGGGCCCACACCCCAUUGAGAAAACUCCAAUGGACACAAAAUCCGUGGAGAAAACCCCCAUCGACCCCAAACCCCAUUGAGAAAACUCCCACAGACCCAAAACUCAUUGAAAAAGAAAACUUCUACAGAGCCAAAAUCCACUGAGAAAAAUCCUACAGACCCCAAAAGCCAUUGGGAAAACUCCUACGGACACAAAACCUAUCAAGAAAAUACCCAUACACCCAAAAGUCAUUGAGAAAAACUUCUAUAGACCCAAAUCCUAUUGGGAAAAAUCCUACUGACCCAAAACCCACUGAGAAAUCUCCCACAGAGCCCAAAACCCAUUGGGAAAACUCCUACGGACACAAAACCCAUUAAGAACCCCCCACCCCCACAGGGCCCAAAACCCACUGAGAAAACCUCCAUACACCCAAACCCCAUUGAGAAAACUCCCACGGGGCUCAGACCCCAUUAGGACAUCUUCGAUGGAUACAAAACCCAUUGAGAAAAAUCCCGUACACCCAAACCCCACUGAGAAAACCCCCAUCGACCCCAAACCCCAUUGAGAAAACUCCCACAGACCCAAAACUCAUUGAAAAAGAAAAUUUCUACAGAGCCAAAAUCCACUGAGAAAAAUCCUACAGACCCCAAACCCACUGAGCAAAUUCCCACAGGGCCCAAACCCCAUUGGGAGAACUCCUAUGGACCCAAAACCCAUUGAGAAAACUCCCAUAGACCCAAAUCCUAUUGGGAAAAAUCCUACUGACCCAAAACCCACUGAGAAAACUCCCAUAGACCCAAAACCUAUUGGGAAAAUCCUACUGACCAAAAACCCAUUGAGAAAAUUCCCACAGGGCCCAAAACCCAUUGAGAAAUCUCCCAUACACCCAAACCCCAUUGAGAAAAGUCCCACGGGGCCCAAAUCCCAUUGGGAAAACUCCGAUGGACACAAAACCCAUUGAGAAAACCCUCCUGGACCCGAAACCCAUUGAGAAAACUUCUACAGACCCAAAACCCACUGAGAAAAAUCCUACAGGGAUUAGGGUUAGGGUUAGGGUUAGAGUUAUGGGGUCAGGGUUAGGGUUAGCAUUCUGGGGUCAGGGUUAGGGUUAUAGUUAUGGGGUCAAGGUUAGGGUUAGAGUUAUGGGGUCAGGGUUAGGGUUAGCAUUCUGGGGUCAGGGUUAGGGUUAGAGUUAUGGGGUCAGGGUUAGGGUUAGCACUCUGGGGUCAGGGUUAGGGUUAGAGUUAUGGGGUCAAGGUUAGGGUUACUGUUAUGGGGUCAGGAUUAGGGUUAGCGUUAUGGGGUCAGGGUUAGGGUUAGAGUUAUGGGGUCAGGGUUAGGGUUAGCAUUCUGGGGUCAGGGUUAGGGUUAGAGUUAUGGGGUCAGGGUUAGGGUUACUGUUAUGGGGUCAGGGUUAGGGUUGGGCUUAGGGUUAGAGUGUUAGGGUCAGGUUUCAGUUUAGGACUGGUGUUGGGUAUAGGGUUUGGGUCCAGGUUGAUUUAUAGGGUCAGAGUUAUGGGGUUAGAGUUAUAGGGUCAGGGAUACGGUUUGGGUUAGAGUUAUAGGGUCAGGACUGGUUGGGGUUAGGGUCUGUGUCAGUGUCAGGUUAGCGUUAGGAUCAUAGGGUUAGGGUUGGGGUUAUAGGGUCAGGGUUAGUGUUAGAGUUUGGGUUAUAGGGUUAGGGUCAGGGUCAGGGCUAGGAUUAGGGUUAUAUGAUCAGGGUUAGGAUUGGGGUUAUAGGUUGAGGGUCAAGGUUAGGGUUAGGGUUAUAGGAUCAAGGUCAGGGUCAAGGUUAGAGUUAUGGGAUCAGGGUUAUAUGGUUAGGGUCAGGGUUAGGGUUAGGAUUAGGACUAGGAUUAGGGUUAGGGUUAUAGGAUCAAGGUCAGAGUUAUAGGGCUAGGGUCAGGAUAAGAAUCAUAGGGUCAGGGUUAGGGUUGGGGUUAGGAUUAUAGGGUCAGGGUCACAGGGUCAGGGUUGGCGCUAUAGGGUCAGGGCUACAGGAUCAGGGUUGGGGUUGUAAGGUCAGGGUUGGGGUCACAGGGUCGUAGUUGAGGUUAUAGGGUCAGGGUUGUAGGGUCAGGGUUGGGACCAUAGGAUCAGGGUUGGGCUUAUAGAGUCAGGGUUACAGGAUCAGGGUUGGGGUCAUAGGGCCAGGGUCAGGGUUAUAGGGUCAGGUUGGGGUUAUAGGGUCAGGGUUACAGGGUCUGGGUUGGGGUCAUAGGGUCAGGGUUGGGAUUGUAGGAUCAGAGUUGGGGUUAUAGGGUCAGGUUUGGGACCAUAGGGUCAGGAUUGGGGUCAUAGAGUCAGGAUUACAGGAUCAGGGUUGGGGUUAUAGGGUCAGGGUUGGGGUUAUAGGGUCAUGGUUGUAGGGUCGGGGUUAUAGGGUCAGGGUUGGGGUUAUAGGGUCAGGGUUGGGGUUGGUGUUAUAGGGUCAGGGUUGUAGGGUCGGGGUUAUAGGGUCAGGGUUGUGGUUAUAGGGUCAGGGUUGUAGGGUCGGGGUCAGUGUCAGCACAGUGUGGGUCCGCUGCCCAUAGCGGUGGCCAUGGGGUCACAUCACCGCUCAGCCCUUACAGUGAGCAGAGCUGCGUUAAUUGUACGGCGUUAAUUGCCGCAUCUCUGUAAUUAGCGCUCAUAAAGAGGCAAUUCAAUCCCAUUAAGGAUUAUUGGCUCAUUAAGAGCCCUCUGUGCACACAGCAGUCCGGGAUGCGCACUGAGGGCACUGCGGGGCAAAUGGGGCCGGGAGGGAAAACCCCAUUUGGGUUUGGGGUGAAUGUGUUGGAAAGGAGAACCCCAUUUGGGUUUGGGGUGAAUGUUUUGGGAGGAGAAAACCCCAUUUGGGUUUGGGAUGAAUACGUUGGGAGGAGAAAAACCCCAUUUGGGUUUGGGGUGAAUGUUCUGAGAGGAGAAAACCCCAUUUGGGUUUGGGGUGAAUGCAUUGGAAUGGCAAAACCUCAUUUGGAUUUGGGGUGAAUGCGUUGGAAUUUGAAAUCCCAUUUGGGUUUGGGGUGAAUGCGUUGGAAAUGGAAAUCCCAUUUGGGUUUGGGGUGAAUGCGUUGGAAAUGGAAAUCCCAUUUGGGUUUGGGGUGAAUGCGUUGGAAAGGAAAACCCCAUUUGGAUUUGGGGUAACUGUGUGGGAAAUCCCAUUUGGGUUUGGGGUGAAUAGAUUGGAAUGGCAAAACCCGCUCUGGAUUUGGGGUGAGGGUGUUGGAAACGGAAAACCCCAUUUGGGUUUGGGGUGAAUGCACUGGAAUGGGAAAAUCCGCUUUGGAUUUGGGAUGAAUACGUUGGGAGGGGAAAACCCCAUUUGGGUUUGGGGUGAAUGUGUUGGAAUUUGAAACCCCAUUUGGGUUUGGGGUGAAUGAAUUGGAAAUGGAAAUCCCAUUUGGGUUUGGGGUGAAUGCGUUGGAAAGGAAAACCCCAUUUGGGUUUGGGGUGAAUGCGUUGGAAAGGAAAACCCCAUUUGGGUUUGGGGUGAAUGUGUUGGGAGGAGAAAACCCCAUUUGGGUUUGGGGUGAAUGUUCUGAGAGGAGAAAACCCCAUUUGGGUUUGGGGUGAAUGCAUUGGAAUGGCAAAACCUCAUUUGGAUUUGGGGUGAAUGCGUUGGAAUUUGAAACCCCAUUUGGGUUUGGGGUGAAUGCAUUGGAAAUGGAAAUCCCAUUUGGGUUUGGGGUGAAUGCGUUGGAAAGGAGAACCCCAUUUGGGUUUGGGGUAACUGUGUGGGAAAUCCCAUUUGGGUUUGGGGUGAAUGCACUGGAAUGGGAAAAUCUGCUUUGGAUUUGGGAUGAAUACGUUGGGAGGGGAAAACCCCAUUUGGGUUUGGGGUGAAUGUGUUGGAAUUUGAAACCCCAUUUGGGUUUGGGGUGAAUGAAUUGGAAAUGGAAAUCCCAUUUGGGUUUGGGGUGAAUGCGUUGGAAAGGAAAACCCCAUUUGGAUUUGGGGUAACUGUGUGGGAAAUCCCAUUUGGGUUUGGGGUGAAUAGAUUGGAAUGGCAAAACCCGCUCUGGAUUUGGGGUGAGGGUGUUGGAAACAGAAAACCCCAUUUGGGUUUGGGGUGAAUAGAUUGGAAUGGGAAGAUCCGCUCUGGAUUUGGGGUGAGGGUGUUGGAAACAGAAAACCCCAUUUGGGUUUGGGGUGAAUGCACUGAGAGGAGAAAACCCCAUUUGGGUUUGGGGUGAAUGCACUGGAAUGGGAAAAUCCGCUUUGGAUUUGGGAUGAAUACGUUGGGAGGGGAAAACCCCAUUUGGGUUUGGGGUGAAUGUUUUGGGAGGAGAAAACCCCAUUUGGGUUUGGGGUGAAUGCAUUGGAAUGGCAAAACCUCAUUUGGAUUUGGGGUGAAUGCGUUGGAAUUUGAAACCCCAUUUGGGUUUGGGGUGAAUGCGUUGGAAAUGGAAAUCCCAUUUGGGUUUGGGGUUCAAGGGGUCCUGAGGGGCUCCCAAGGAGGAUUUGGGGCUCCGGAGGAGGAUUUGGGGGUGCUGAGGGC
ensembl:lncRNA